rnacentral:lncRNA from 1 species
GUCACUUUGAGACGACUAUUCCUAAAAGCCAAAUUUAACAACACAUCCAGCCUCAGACUCAGAAAAGAUGGAAGGUCAUAUAUAAAUUUUUUUAAAUGAGUGAAAAAGAGAGAAGAGGUGAAUAAAUGUGAGAACCAGGGAAAGCAGAAUAAAAAGGAUACAAGGAAAGAUGAAGGGGAGAAUAAGGAGAAAUGGGAGGUAGGAGGAAGAACAACUAUACCCCAGACCAUUUGCAUCAUGCUUGGAGUAUACUGUUAGAAUACAGAAAGGCAGCUGUGUAAAGAAAUAAGGGUCAUGAAAUCUGAUGAAGAGUUAUGAGGUCAUAUACAAGAAGGUGGGAAAAUAAGGAGAUCAUCAGAAAAAAAAAAGACUCAGAAGAAAACUAGUGGUUUUUUGUUGCUGUUUUGUGUUGUUUUUAUCAACUCUGUGCCAGCCACUCUGACAAUUCACAGAUGCCAUCUCAUUUGUAAAACCAUCUCAUCUGGAGGUGAUGGGAAACAUGGCCAAGCAAUAACGAUGUGCCACAGGAUGAAUAGAAUUCACUGCCCCAGAUUCACAUAGCCUUAUCACCAUAAGGUCCCUGGACUUUGGGACUCAUUCUGCUCAACUUGAUCCCCACUCUGCCCAUUGAUCACAUACACACGUUUACACCUGGCAGAAGAGGAAGAGGAGGCAUGAAGGAAUGGCCUCUUCAGAAUGGAGAAAAGGUAGGAAUCAUCUGGGAUUUUUACCAGAGAGAACCCCUUAGGCUGACUCAGGAGUUGAACUGAAUGUGAAAGAGACCAAGUAGGAAA